UACGGAGGGUGCGAGCGUUAAUCGGAAUUACUGGGCGUAAAGGGUGCGUAGGUGGUUAAUUAAGUUAUCUGUGAAAUCCCUGGGCUCAACCUGGGCAGGUCAGAUAAAACUGUUUAACUCGAGUAUGGGAGAGGGUAGUGGAAUUUCCGGUGUAGCGGUGAAAUGCGUAGAGAUCGGAAGGAACACCAGUUGCGAAGGCGGCUCUCUGGACCAGUACUGACGCUGAGGCACGAAAGCGUGGGGAGCAAACAGG
rnacentral:rRNA from 1 species